UAGGGAAUAUUAGUAAUGGGCGAAAGCCUGAACUAGCAACGCCGCGUGUGCGAAGAAGGCCUUCGGGUUGUAAAGCACUUUUUGAGAGGAUGAGGAAGGACGGUACUCUCAGAAUAAGUCUCGGCUAACUACGUGCCAGCAGCCGCGGUAACACGCAGGAGGCAAACGUUAUCCGGAUUUACUGGGCGCAAAGCGCGUGUAGGUGGUUUGGUAAGUAGGGCGUGAAAGCUCCUGGCUCAACUGGGAGAGGCCGUUCUAAACUGCCGAACUAGAGGAUGGUAGAGGGAGGUGGAAUUCCGGGUGUAGCGGUGGAAUGCGCAGAUAUCCGGAGGAACACCAGUGGCGAAAGCGGCCUCCUGGACCAUUCCUGACACUCAGACGCGAAAGCUAGGGUAGCAAACGG
rnacentral:rRNA from 1 species